UUCAAGAUGACUGAGUAGAAAGUAAGUGUUGGAUUUUUAAUCCAACCACGAUUAAUUAAUCUCUUGUUU
rnacentral:tRNA from 1 species